GAGUUUGAAUCUGGCUCAGGACGAACGCUGGCGGCGUGCCUAAUACAUGCAAGUCGAACGAACUCUGGUAUUGAUUGGUGCUUGCAUCAUGAUUUACAUUUGAGUGAGUGGCGAACUGGUGAGUAACACGUGGGAAACCUGCCCAGAAGCGGGGGAUAACACCUGGAAACAGAUGCUAAUACCGCAUAACAACUUGGACCGCAUGGUCCGAGCUUGAAAGAUGGCUUCGGCUAUCACUUUUGGAUGGUCCCGCGGCGUAUUAGCUAGAUGGUGGGGUAACGGCUCACCAUGGCAAUGAUACGUAGCCGACCUGAGAG
rnacentral:rRNA from 2 species